GACGAACGCUGGCGGUGUGCUUAACACAUGCAAGUCGAACGGUAAGGCCCUUUCGGGGGUCCACGAGUGGCGAACGGGCGAGUAACACGUGAGUAACCUGCCCUCAUCUCUGGGAUAACAGUCGGAAACGGUUGCUAAUACUGGAUAUGAGCUUGCAAGGCAUCUUGUGGGUUGGAAAGAUUUUUUUGGUUGGGGAUGGACUCGCGGCCUAUCAGCUUGUUGGUGAGGUAGUGGCUCACCAAGGCUUCGACGGGUAGCCGGCCUGAGAGGGCGACCGGCCACAUUGGGACUGAGAUACGGCCCAAACUCCUACGGGAGGCAGCAGUGGGGAAUAUUGCACAAUGGACGGAAGUCUGAUGCAGCAACGCCGCGUGCGGGAUGACGGCCUUCGGGUUGGAAACCGCUUUCAAUUGUGACGAAGCUUUUUGUGACGGUAGCAGUAGAAGAAGCACCGGCUAACUACGUG
rnacentral:rRNA from 1 species